GUAGGUGAACCUGCGGAAGGAUCAUUAACUAGUAUUGAAGUCCACGGGGAUCAGGCUUUCCGAAAGGAGGGUGGGGGGAUGUUUGGUUCCCCCUGCUUGGGCAGACUGGAGAGCAUGGUGUAACCACAUUUUGUGGCGUAAUUAUGUUUGGCCUCUGCUGAUCGAGCUUGUCACCUGAAUUCUACUACCCUUGCUUUUUGCGCACCCAUUGUUUCCUCGGCAGGCUUGCCUGCCAGUAGGACCCUUUAAAACCCUUUGUAAUUGCAAUCAGCGUCAGAAACAACGUAAUCGUUACAACUUUCAACAACGGAUCUCUUGGUUCUG
rnacentral:misc_RNA from 1 species